AGCCCCUCGAGUGGUGGGGACGUUUAUUGGGCCUAAAGCGUCCGUAGCCGGCUCGGUAAGUCCCUCGUUAAAUCCAGCGUCCUAAGCGCUGGGCCGCGAGGGAGACUACAGAGCUAGAGGGUGGGAGAGGUCAGCGGUAUUCCUGGGGUAGGGGCGAUAUCCAUUGAUCCCAGGAGGACCACCAGUGGCGAAGGCUGCUGACUAGAACACGCCUGACGGUCAGGGACGAAAGCUGGGGUAGCGAAUCGGAUUAGAUACCCGAGUAGUCC
rnacentral:rRNA from 1 species